rnacentral:rRNA from 1 species
AUUGAACGCUGGCGGAAUGCUUUACACAUGCAAGUCGAACGGUAGAGGGGGCAACCCCCUUGAGAGUGGCGAACGGGUGAGUAAUAUAUCGGAACGUGCCCAGUCGUGGGGAUAACGUAGCGAAAGUUACGCUAAUACCGCAUACGAUCUAAGGAUGAAAGCGGGGGACUCGCAAGAGCCUCGCGCGAUUGGAGCGGCCGAUAUCAGAUUAGGUAGUUGGUGGGGUAAAGGCUCACCAAGCCAACGAUCUGUAGCUGGUCUGAGAGGACGACCAGCCACACUGGAACUGAGACACGGUCCAGACUCCUACGGGAGGCAGCAGUGGGGAAUUUUGGACAAUGGGGGGCAACCCUGAUCCAGCAAUGCCGCGUGAGUGAAGAAGGCCUCGGGUUGUAAAGCUCUUUGUUCAGGGAAGAAACGGUAGAGAGCUAAUAUUUCUU